GAGGUCGGGGCGUGAUUUAUUUAUUUAUUUAUUUUUAAUAUGAAAGAGGCUGAACUUCAUAGCUGGAAACAUUUAAAACACCCUGGAAAACAAGGCGUGGGCAGCGGUGGCUGAGGCAUUAUUUUCACGAAAAAUCGUCAACCUGCCUGACUGGCCAUGGAAUAGAGCUGUGGGUGACACAUAGUGAAAGAUUUAACCCAGAACGAAGGCCGAGGUAGACCUACGAAGGGGAGUGGGGAUAGGUAUGAGCUCCUCUCUCCACUCUGAGCUGGUGCAAGAUGAAGCAGCUCAGCUCGCUGCCAUGUGAGGCAAUGCACCCAAGUAAAAGUGUGCUGGCUCAGUAACCCGGUAGGCAGGAAUUUAACAUUUUCUAGGCAGAAAUGGGCAGAAUUCUGGCAGUGGGAAGUGGGACCAGAAUCAUCCUUCAGACUGUGGCAAGAAGGACAGAGUAGAAGAGCAGUCACAGUAAAUAACUCGUGGACUUAAUCAUGGGAACUAAAACUGUGAUAUUCCCAUUAACCUCUUCUCUUCAGCAAGGCAUCGGUAAUGAUGAAUCCAGCCUCUAUCUUAUAACCUGUCUCCAGUUACAAGACAGGUAAAAAGACCAAAAGUUGAGGUAUAGGGUUAUAAUCAGAAAUUUCAUCUGGUUAGUGAUACCACAUAUAUUUUCACUUAAAUUUAAAUUUUAUAUAAAGUGUUUUAGGAUUCAAAACCAAAACAUCAGUUCUUUUGGUGAAAAUGAAAUAGUUUUGUUUAUCCCUGUUAAAAAAGAAGCAUAGUUUUCUCUGUUUUCCUUCCUUCAGCUAUCAAUGAAUACAUACCUGUAAUAUAUAAAGAUACAUAUGUGCAAUAUUGCACAAGACCCCAAAAUUGGUGUAUCGUACAGAAAGUAUAUUUCCUGAAAAUAUUUUCAGAAAUGUUUUAAUAGCAAAUGCUUCAUCAAGCUGUUAUAUCAUGCUAUACACAGGAAGAGGAAAACUAACACAGAGUUAGUUCAUCUGCUAGCUUCUGAAUUUAAGCAAACACUUAAUAUACAAGUAAUAUUUAUUGCUGUUAGAAGAUGCUAAGCAUGUCUGUAAGUAGUAUUUAAAUCUGGUUCUCUUAAGCUGAAAACGUUUUACUGACUCAAUGAUACAAGCAUUUCCUGAAAAAUGACUUAUUUCCUGUAUUUUGUUAAUAUUUGACAGCACUGAUCUUAAACCAGUAGCAACAUGACACUGAUUUGUAAGACAGAUUUUAAAGUAAGGUUGAAAUUCUGUAUUAUUGUAUCCCACAUAAACUCAUUUAAUGAGCAACAAUUCCAUAAUAAAUUUCAUUUAAAACCAAAAAUAGACCC